CCUACGGGAGGCUGCAGUGGGGAAUAUUGGACAAUGGGGGCAACCCUGAUCCAGCCAUGCCGCGUGUGUGAAGAAGGCCCUCGGGUUGUAAAGCACUUUCAGUGAGGAAGAACGCCUGGUGGUUAAUACCCAUCAGGAAAGACAUCACUCACAGAAGAAGCACCGGCUAACUCCGUGCCAGCAGCCGCGGUAAUACGGAGGGUGCGAGCGUUAAUCGGAAUUACUGGGCGUAAAGCGCGCGUAGGUGGCUUGAUAAGCCGGUUGUGAAAGCCCCGGGCUCAACCUGGGAACGGCAUCCGGAACUGUCAAGCUAGAGUGCAGGAGAGGAAGGUAGAAUUCCCGGUGUAGCGGUGAAAUGCGUAGAGAUCGGGAGGAAUACCAGUGGCGAAGGCGGCCUUCUGGACUGACACUGACACUGAGGUGCGAAAGCGUGCGUAGCAAACAGGAUUAGAUACCCUUGUAGUC
rnacentral:rRNA from 1 species